ACAAUUGUCGUAAAUAGAAGUUAAAAACAAAACUAAGCUACGCUUCGGCUUAACCUUCUUUUUUUUCUCUCCAAAGGAUAACCAUUUUCAUCAACAUGCAAAACUACAUUGGGAAGCGACAUCAAACCAGGUGUCGGCUUCCAAGCCAAACGUCCAUGAAGUGUAGUGUCUCCAUAAUCUACUAUUUUAUCGUAGUAGUUAUAUAAAUCAUCCCAAUUAUGUAUAUUUUGGAGAGGGGCAUCAUACACGAUCCUACCAGUUUUUUGAUAUGCUAGUUUUACUGCUUGUAAACGUG